rnacentral:lncRNA from 1 species
GGGUUCUGGACAGACGUACCCAGUCAGGGAAUGUUUACUUUGCCUCCACUUCUGUUCCUCCCCGCCCUGGUGCUGCUCCGGGUCACAUACUCGUCCUGAGCCGGCUUCAGCCUCUCCGCGCAGAAGUCUCCCGGAGCCGACUUCUGAGAGUCGAGUACUCCUAUGUGAAGACUACCAAGCUCGUGUUCAAGGGAACCAAGGCGAAGAGGCGAGAUGGAAAGAAAGUAUCAAGGAGUGAGCUGAAGCCACUGCCCUUGAGAACCCUCUCGAGGAGUCUGGGCUCAUGAGGAUGCCAGAAUAAGUGGCAGUAAGAAGAAAAAGAACAAAGAUAAGAAAAGAAAAAGAGAAGAAGAUGAAGAAACCCAGCUUGAUAUGUUGGAAUCUGGUGGACAGUAACAAACUUUGGUGAAAUUUCAGGAACCAUAGCCAUUGAAAUGGAUGAGGGAACCUAUAUACAUGCACUCGAUAAUGGUCUUUUUACCCUGGGAGCUCCACACAAAGAAGUUGAUGAGGGCCCUAGUCCUCCAGAGCAGUUUUCGGCUGUCAAAUUAUCUGAUUCCAGAAUCACCCUGAAAUCUGGCUAUGGAAAAUAUCUUGGUAUAAAUUCAGAUGAACUUGUUGUUGGGCGUUCAGAUGCAAUUGGACCAAGAGAACAAUGGGAACCAGUCUUUAAAAUUGGGAAAAUGGCUUUGUCGACCUCAAAUAGCUGCUUUAUUAGAUACAGUGAAGCAGAGGACAUAGAAGCAAAAAGUAAAACAGCAGGAGAAGAAGAAAUGAUCAAGAUUAGAUCCUGUGCUGAAAGAGAAACCAAGAAAAAAGAUGACAUUCCAGAAGAAGACAAAGGAAAUAUAAAACAAUGUGAAAUCAAUUACGUAAAGAAAUUUCAGAGCUUCCAAGACCACAAACUUAAAAUAAGUAAAGAAGAGAGUAAAAUUCUUAAAAAGGCUCAGAAAGAUGGAUUUUUGCAUGAAACGCUUCUGGACAGAGAACCAAAUUGAAAGCCGACAGAUACUGCAGAUGACUGGGAUUUUUGUUUCUGUCUUACCUUUUUGUGUUUUUUUUCUGAAUAAAAUAUUCAGAGGAAAUGCUUUUACAGAG